ACUACAUCCGGUUCAUGGGAGCUAACGCUUUGGCUAACAACCGCUGCGUGUGGAGGCUGCAAAUUUGGAGAAAUUGUUCAAUAUGAGAACAAAAUGAAUGCAUCAAUGUUCAAUGGGAAGCGACCGGGUGGACUUCAAACCAGGGUCCCACCAGUCUAAAGUGACGACAGCUGUCUUGACAGUGGGGAUAGUGAUGAAGACUACACUCCUACACCACGUCGGCACUAUCCACUAAGCUACCGACGCCCCCAUUGCUGCCGGUUUCAUCAUCUGGUCAGGAGUGUAGUCUGUACGCAGCAUGCACAUACCCCAUGCACAGAGGCACUGCCUUGCCGCAGCGGUCGCGGGCUUCCUAGCACCAGUGUUCUAGGUGAAAAGCUUGAGCUCUGUUUCAGAUUGGAUUAUAAUAGUUGGUGUUAAAGUCAGGACAUUGAAAAUAAUUGUGUGGCAUCAAUAAAAUCUACAUACCUGAGACGGGAAAAUGUGUUUUAAUAUUUAUUUAUUUAUUUAUUUAUUUUACCAUUUUUUCCAUUUAUUCCUGUUGUUGCUAAUUUGUAUCAUACCUAAAUGUACGUACAUUUAGUACAAGUAUUUGUUAUUGUUAAAAUAACAUAUUUGUUAAAAUAUUACGUUGCAACCAAGUACUGUAUGGUUUUGACAUUUUUCUAGCUUGUUAAAAAGGGACAUACAGUAAAAAAAAAAAAAAAAAAAAAUCUCAAAUUUUAGGGGUUCUGGGAUUCAAUUUAGGGGUGCUUCAGCACCCCCAAAAAUGGCCUAGAAACACCUAGGUUUCCACCGUAAUGUGCUGUUGCCUGAGCGAAACAGAGUGGAAGUAGGUUAAGCUGACUCUCCACCAGUAGAUGGCAGUAUGAGUACUUAAAUGUAUGCCUGGUUUGUCUUUUUGUGAACUGUUGGCUUAUUUUCCAGGUUAUUGAUGCAGAUGUAUUUAAUACUAUUCAUUUAAUUUGAUGUUUCUGGUUUAUUUACAACCUAGUUAUAGAUAGCAUGUAUUUACUUUUCAUUUCAGAACCACACAUAGGCCUACCUGUAUGGAAGAAUGAGCAUGUGUUGAUAGUGUGGCAGAAAUGAAAAUGAAAAAUUAACGAAAAAUAAAGACACAUUUGGGUUGUUCUUAUUGGA